NNNNGUCACAGCCCGUCUGUCUCUGCCACAGCCCGUCUGUCUCUGCCACAGCCCGUCUCUGCCACAGCCCGUCUGUCUCUGUCACAGCCCGUCUCUGUCACAGCCCGUCUGUCUCUGUCACAGCCCGUCUCUGUCACAGCCUGUCUGUCUCUGCCACAGCCCGUCUGUCUCUGCCACAGCCUGUCUGUCUCUGUCACAGCCCGUCUGUCUCUGCCACAGCCCGUCUGUCUCUGCCACAGCCCGUCUCUGCCACAGCCCGUCUGUCUCUGUCACAGCCCGUCUCUGCCACAGCCCGUCUGUCUCUGCCCCAGCCCGUCUGUCUCUGCCACAGCCCGUCUGUCUCUGCCACAGCCCGUCUCUGCCACAGCCCGUCUGUCUCUGUCACAGCCCGUCUCUGUCACAGCCUGUCUCUGUCACAGCCCGUCUAUGUCACAGCCUGUCUGUCUCUGCCACAGCCCGUCUGUCUGUCUCUGUCACAGCCCGUCUCUGUCACAGCCCGUCUGUCUGUCACAGCCCGUCUGUCUCUGUCACAGCCCGUCUCUGUCACAGCCCAUCUGUCUGUCUCUGCCAUAGCCCAUCUCUGUCACAGCCCGUCUGUCUCUGUCACAGCCCGUCUGUCUCUGUCACAGCCCGUCACUGUCACAGCCCGUCUCUGUCACAGCCCGUCUGUCUGUCACAGCCCGUCUGUCUGUCACAGCCCGUCUGUCUGUCUGUCACGGAGCUGGGCGACGAGGACGCGACCCAGAGCCACAAAACGAGGUCGCAGCCUCAGGAAGCUCCUGGAAUCAGAAGCCGGCCUCCUGGGGGCGGAGCUUGCAGCAGCCCUCUCAGGUGUAUGGGCCCACCUGUCUCGGCCGGAGCCCCUGCACACGGAGUCCGAGCAGCCGCCCCAAGUGGCCACAAAGUCCAGGUGGACGGCAGGACGAAGCUCCAGUGUCCGCAGCACAGCGAGGCCUGCAGGGCUGCCAGGCAGGAGCUUGGGCACCUGUGGGGACGUGGGGGCCCUGAUGUGAUCAGCGAGGUGCCGGCCGGCCACGCAGCGCCCCCAGCAGCACCGUCAGAAGAUGGAAGCAGGGGCUGGCACUGUGUAGUGGGUAAAGCCGCUGCCUGCAGUGCCAGCAUCCCAUAUGGGCACCGGUUCGAGUCCCGGCUGCUCCAGUUCCAAUACAGCUCUCUGCUAUGACCUGGAAAAGCAGUGGAAGACGGCCCAAGUGCUUGGGCCCCUGCAUCAGCGUGGGAGACCUGGAAGAAGCUCCUGGCUCCUGGCUUCAGAUUAGCCCAGCUCAUCAUUGCAGCCAAUUGGGGAGUGAACCAGUGGAUGGAAGACCUCUCUCUCCCUCCUCCCUCCCUCUCUCUCCCCCUCUCCCUCUUCUUCUCUUCUGUGUAACUCUGACUUUCAAAUAAAAAAAUAAAUCUUAAAAAAAUUUAAAAAAAGAAAAUAGAAGCAGCAACUUUCCCCUUUGAUCGUCUCGCGUGGUGUAGCCUACAUGGAAACGUGGCCGCCCCGGAAGUGGCCUGGUCAGCCCAUCCGACACAGUGAGGUCGCACGUGGCCACCGAGGGAGACUCCCCUGCAGUGGCGAGUGCAUUUCGCAGCUGCGUCCCCGGCUGCUGUCCUCCCCAGAGGU
ensembl:lncRNA